AGUCGCGGUUAAACCAAGAUGAUCAAAUUAUAUACUUACGGUGAAAAAAUAGUUAGAUCUUAGUAAGUUUAUUGAAUGUUUAUAUAAGGGUAAAAUCUAAAUAUAAAUAAAAAAUUCUACUUAAACUUAGAUGUUGAAGCUAUGAAAGCCUUGAGGGAAACUGGGAUUAGAUACCCCAUUAUUCUUGGAUAUAAAAUAACUAUAGUUUACCAGAGUACUAUGAAUUAACAAUUUAAAACUUAAAGGGCUUGGCGGUGUUUUAGACCUCUUAGGGGAACCUGUCUCAUAAUCGACAGUCCGCGCUAAACCUGACCUUUUUUUGCAUUCAAUUUGUAUACCGUCGUCGUCAGGUAACUUUUUAGAAAAUGGAAGUUAGCAACCAAACAAUAAUGAGUUUAUACGUCAGAUCAAGGUGCAGUUAAUAAGAAGGAGAGGAUGGGUUACAAUUAUACAAUUAUAAUUACGAAAACUUUUUUGAAAUAAAAUUAUGAAGGAGGACUUAAAAGUAAGAUAAUGUAUAUAAACACUCUGAAUUAGGCUCUGAAACGUGCACACAUCGCCC
rnacentral:rRNA from 1 species